CACACAUGUCUGCAGCUGCUCCUGUCGUCACAGGAAGCCGAGUGAAGGCUCCUCUUCCUUCCUGCAGGUGGACUAUGUCCACUGUUCCUGGCCUCUGAUGACCCAGUGUUCCUCCCAGGAAGCUUCAUGUGCCUUAUUACCUAACUGAUGAAUUAUUUGGGUCAGCAUAAAGGCUACUUGGCACUUCCUCAGCUUGCAGCCAGGGGAUGAGAGUUUGUGUGGAGUGCUGGCUCCCUUUGUGUCCACUGCAAUGAGGCAGAGUGUUUUAAAGGGUAUGGUCUUGCUCUGCUCUUCUGCCCACCCUUCAGGAAAUAUGAACUUUACUGGUCUCUGUGGAGUGAGAUGUCCCUGCCACUCUGCUACCACCUCUAGCCUCAAGGGAGUAGCAUUUCAGAGUGGAUGGUGGGCAUAUAGAAGAAGCUCUCCCAAUGCCCAACCUUAGGUGCCACAGUGAGACACGUGUUUCUAGAAUGAUUGAUGCUCAGGUGGUGUGGUUUUGUGGAGGGAGCAGGAGCGGAAACCUGUGCACAGAUCACUGUGACAUUUUCAGAUGCUUUCAGUUGAUCCAUACAUACCUCUGAACAAGACAUACUUCCCUCCUGGACCCACACCCCACAAGUGCCUCAGACAGCCUGAAAUGUCGUUAUCUCACAUUCUCUUGAGUAGUGGAAUGUGAACUGUAUGUGCUGUGCUCACGAAUCAUCUCCGAACGAUUACAAAAGUCUCAGCUGGGGCCUAGCAGCUGUUACCCAGAUGUUCUGCAUAGCAGCUGAAGCAUCGUUUGGUAUCAAUAAACUCAUCUCAUGUGAGAGCUGAGCUGGAAAUGGUGACGACUGCCAUGAAUAGACCAUCCUCAGGGAAGAGGAAUAAGCCCAGAGACUGAGUGGGCCUUCCCUCCCCGGGGCACUGCCUGCUCUGAGACCCACUGUGACUGAGGCGCUGAGUGUUAGCAGGUCCCAGGCUCAGAUAUAUGGCCAGUUUGCUAUUAGAAUGUAUGUUCAGAGGUGUGUGCUAAAUCCCACCUCCUAAGCCCUGACUGAACCCUUUGUUACCUCCCACCCCCAGAGGUCUGAGGAGGUGGAACUCUGUGUGUUGAUGAGCUUACUCAUGAGUACUGUGAACUGGCUGCAGCCAGUUUUAGAAGCAAUAGAUCCGCCUCUCCAGGACAUCCUGUUAUUGUUCUUCUGCUCUCACUUCUGCUACACAAUAAAAACUGCUGCAGUAACCGG